GAUCCAGCCAUGCCGCGUGAGUGAUGAAGGCCCUAGGGUUGUAAAGCUCUUUCGCCAGGGACGAUAAUGACGGUACCUGGAUAAGAAGCCCCGGCUAACUUCGUGCCAGCAGCCGCGGUAAUACGAAGGGGGCUAGCGUUGUUCGGAAUCACUGGGCGUAAAGCGCACGUAGGCGGAUCUUUAAGUCAGGGGUGAAAUCCGAGGCUCAACCUCGGAACUGCCUUUGAUACUGGAGGUCUAGAGUCCGGGAGAGGUGAGUGGAACUGCGAGUGUAGAGGUGAAAUUCGUAGAUGUUCGCAAGAACACCAGUGGCGAAGGCGGCUCACUGGCCCGGAACUGACGCUGAGGUGCGAAAGCCUGGGGAGCAAUCAGGAUUAGAUACCCUGGUAGUCUACGCCGUAAACGAUCCAUGCUAACCGAUCGGGNAGUUCC
rnacentral:rRNA from 1 species